rnacentral:rRNA from 1 species
AGAGUUUGAUCAUGGCUCAGGACGAACGCUGGCGGCGUGCUUAACACAUGCAAGUCGAACGAUGAAGCUGGAGCUUGCUCCAGUGGAUUAGUGGCGAACGGGUGAGUAACACGUGAGCAAUCUGCCCUUGACUCUGGGAUAACUGCGGGAAACUGUAGCUAAUACCGGAUACGACACCUUGGGGCAUCCCGAGGUGUGGAAAGAAUUUCGGUCAAGGAUGAGCUCGCGGCCUAUCAGCUUGUUGGUGAGGUAAAAGCUCACCAAGGCGACGACGGGUAGCCGGCCUGAGAGGGUGACCGGCCACACUGGAACUGAGAUACGGUCCAGACUCCUACGGGAGGCAGCAGUGGGGAAUAUUGCACAAUGGGCGCAAGCCUGAUGCAGCAACGCCGCGUGAGGGAUGAAGGCCUUCGGGUUGUAAACCUCUUUUAUCAGGGAAGAAGCGAAAGUGACGGUACCUGAAGAAAAAGCACCGGCUAACUACGUGCCAGCAGCCGCGGUAAUACGUAGGGUGCAAGCGUUGUCCGGAAUUAUUGGGCGUAAAGAGCUCGUAGGCGGUUUGUCGCGUCUGCUGUGAAAAUCCAAGGCUCAACCUUGGACCUGCAGUGGGUACGGGCAGACUAGAGUGCGGUAGGGGAGAUGGGAAUUCCUGGUGUAGCGGUGGAAUGCGCAGAUAUCAGGAGGAACACCAAUGGCGAAGGCACAUCUCUGGGCCGUAACUGACGCUGAGGAGCGAAAGCGUGGGGAGCGAACAGGAUUAGAUACCCUGGUAGUCCACGCCGUAAACGGUGGGUGCUAGUUGUGGGCCACAUUCCACGUGGUCCGUGACGAAGUUAACACAUUAAGCAC